CUGGGGUUAUAGCACAGUAGUUUGCCAUCAAGGAAACCGCAAGCAACAAAGAUGUUAUCUCUAACAUAUGGUUCUUAUUUGAGGAGAUCUGUCAGGUUACAUGAACUGACACAGCACAGCUUGGGGCUGGGUGUUGUUUUACAUGCACACGUGGGCUCCCCUCACAGCAGUACCCUGAGCACAGCCCAGAUCACACUCCAGCACAGCAGUGCUGGCAGAGCACCCAUCCUGCAUGAGGGGCUUCAGAGCAGCUCCCAUCUGUGCCCCACAUCCACCAGUGGCUGUAUUUCUGAAACCCCACACAGCUGAGGUAGCAGGCAUGGCAGAUGAAGGGGGAUGCCAAUAGCAAAUCCAAAUAUAGCACCCAAAUCCAGGUGUGUGACCAUUCCCCUCCCCAAAUGGCAAAACCCAGCAGCAGGACACAAGUGGGCUCUCUCCAGGAGGCAGAGCUCAGCCUGGAUCCCCAGCACAGUAACCAGGCUGAGAAGAGAUUGGAGUAAAGCAGCAUGAGUGGGGGGCCGGGGCUGCUUUUAAGUGACAUACACGCGGUAUGACAAUAUGAAACAGCAGCAGCUGCUAAUGUGAUGUAGCAAGGGAAGGGUUCGAGUAAUUCCACAGCAACUAAACAAAAGCAAAGAUAAAGGGUGAGGAAGCAUCUCACUGUAAGCACCAGGUCCGUGGUCCCACAGGGCAGCUGCAUACCUGCAAGGUGUGCUGUGUGCGCCAACAGAAUCCUCAGUGCCAUCCCCUGGGUUACAGUGGUGCUUCCUUCCAUGACGAGCACAGCAGGAGUGGAAUGUCCUCAUCCUCUGAAUUUCUGUGGGCUCUUCAGAUACAACUUUUGCUUCUUUUGCUUUAUGGCACAGGAAUUACAAAGCCCAAACGUCCCUGUGUGGCUUCAGCAUAUGAAUUACAGCCUCUUCUGAGCUCCAGCAGCUGCCCCAGUAACCCUCUGAGGAGGUGCUGCUGCUAUUUUUAGAAGGACUCUACAAAAACAAGACCCAAAAAAGACACCAGCAAACAUAAUUAAGUUGGCAACCGGCAAUCUAUAAAAGCAGUGAGGCAAUGCUGCUACUUGGUUACACCCACAGCGGCCAUAAAUCAUCCCCCCUAUCUGACCUCUCUCUGCACACUUCUCAGGGGUUGCUGGUGAUCUUUUUUUGGGUACUUUUCCCAAAAUGCACAUGUGGUUCUUCGUUCAGAACUUCACGACGAUUCAAGUGACCACCCUGUCCUGGUAACUCGAAACACUCUUACAGCUGACACAAUGCUCCACAUACACAGGAAACAGCUGCAGAAAUGGAUGCCUGAAUGGAUUCCCAUCAAAGCCAAUGAUUCACAACAGGCAGCGCUCAGAAAGCAGUGACAGCCCUGGAUUACUGUGAGGAGAGGCAGCCCACCCUCCCCCCAGCCCCCGCUUCAUGCACCAUUAUCCUCCAUCACGCGCAGUUCUGGCAGAAUUGCAGGACUUUCCAAAACGCCCUUCUGCAGGUAUGUUUCAUCUCCACAUCGUGCUGCUGACUCAGUGCCUCUCAGCCAACCUGGAUAUGGAGAAAAAGCAGCAACUCUUGAGGUUCUGUUUCCAUGCUGGCUACGAAAGGAGUUGCCCACAAGCUGUCCAUGGUUGUAGUUGUGCUGAGAGCAAGCAGCUUCCACAAUCGACCUGAAGAAACCCCUUAAAAGUGCACGCCUGCCCCAUCUUGUGACCGAUAUGCUUCAUUAUCUCCUUUUGUACUUUGCCCAGAGGUUGCUUCCAUCAUUACAGACCUUUCACAUGUGCUGCUGGCCUCAGAUCGCAGGUGGUUUCUUUGCAUGCACUGUAAUCGACGCUCUUGUUGGUGAGCUCCUUGGAAGGCUCAGCAGCAGCACGCAGCUUAUCAAACCCUGUAGGGAUGCAGCCAGCAAGAAAUGGAAAGUGAAAUGUCCCAAGUCUGCUGCAUGCAGCUGUGCCUUCUGCUUGGAUUCCAAACUGUCACUGCUGCCAAUCCGUAUCUUUGUCAGAACUGAAUAAAAACAAAACCAACCCUAACAAAUUAGCAUUCAGUAGUGUGCAAACAGGAAACUUGAAACACGUCGAAUGUUUGGAAAUAACAGGUUCCUCUAAAGGAACCAGUUGAUGUAAGUUUAUGGGAUUGAGGAACCAGCAACAACAGGUUUUACAGGCUAAAAUGGAUCUGCGUCAUCAUUCAAGUUCCUGACAUUCAGAAAUUAAUGGAUUCUGGGGAGAUACUGAAAUCUACACAGCUUCCAAAGCAGCUGACAGUGCUUGACACCCUGUUCAAAGCACAAGUGCAGCACGGGAGGAAAGAGGUGUCUCCACACUGUGGCCUGGCACUGCUCUCCAGUGACACAAAAGGUGACAGCUCACCUGAGGCUGUGCUGCAGCUUGGAGUGAAUGCUCAGACCUGAGUCGGUGCCAUUUCCUCAUGCCAUCGAACAGGCAUCAUGCCCAGAACACCUCCUGUAUCAACACAUCCAUUCAGUUCUGAAUUCUGUUGAGUGCAUGGCAGAGAACACAGAGUAGACAUUUAAUCAACAUGUCUGUUUGUUCACAAUCCCUUCUAUUUCACAAGCUGACCAAAUGCUGCACAGAUGAACAGCUUUUGUUGCUCAGCAUUUGCCCUGAUUGAAAGCUGCCCUGCACAUAGAUCAGGGCUGAAUUUCAACCUGUCCCUUACUGUGGCCUGUAGUGCAAGGAGCAAAGCACGUGGUGUGACAAGGCAAUGGCACAAAGCCUGCCAGGUACACAGAGGGCAGUACAGUGAGGACCUUCAGUAUGAAGGCAAAGAACAAAGGCAAUGCAUGCAACACAACCCAUGGCUUACAAAGUCUGAUAACGGCAUCAUUUUCCCAGCACGAUGCGCACCCACCACAGCAUGCAUUGCUCACUCCAUUGCAGCACAUUGCUCACCCCACACUCCACUCUGCCCAAGAACCUCUUCUGUCUCUGGACAAAAGCUCUGGAGCUCACACCAGGGGCUUUCUGGAGAAAUAAAGUAAAAUUUCAUGGAGAAAUUAAGUUUAAAAGUGUCUGCAGUACAUAUUAUAUGUUAGUACUGCCUGAAAUCAGAUCUUUUUAAAAAGUUCUAAGUAUUUUCCUAACUUUUCCACAUGAGGCACACUGUGAAGGACUUGUCUAAGUUAGCGUAAAGCAAAUCACAACCAGCUGGUAUGCUCUGUAUUACAAGUUAACUUCUAAUCACACAUGCUUGCUUUUGCCAGCGAAGCACUGGUGGAAUUGGACUGGGUUUAGCUGCAUGGCUACAGUGAGAUCCAGCCACAAGUUACAGAAAUAAGUGUUACUUCUGUAGGCUCCCCAGCCAUCAUUCCUUGGCUUACUGGGAAGCAGCACAGCCACAUCCUGGCACUGACCUUAACUCAGCAGCAAUUCAAGGUUCCAGAUGGAAAACUGCAGCUUCGGAAGAUUUGUGGCUCGCUCCUGUCAGAAGAUAGGAGGUGUCUCUUGAGAUAGAGAGGAGCAAAAACACCCUGCUGGAUCUGGCCACACUUGCUUGGAAGCGGUUUCUUUUCAUUAUCUGGGAACAGUUCACAGUGCAAUGCCAGAUGCCCAUAUUUUCCAUCACACAAAUUGUAUUUCCGGUGUUAAAACCUCUUCAGCAUUCAUCUUUUACAGCAUCCUUUUUAUUAUCCUAUCAGAAUUAAUUUUGUACUAUGCUUUGAGGAUGAAAAAAGCCACAUAAGUGCUAAGCAUGUUUGGUUCCAUUACUUCACACCACUACAGUUGCAUACAGUUUACCCUUUCAUUAGGGGAAUAAACUCAAAUAACAGCAAUUAAAGACACAGCCUAACAUCAACUUUUCAUUCUGUAAAGAAGUUUUUAAACAACUGAAAAUAACGACAUGCAGCUUUUGUUUGAGACAGGACGUGUCCCUGAUUUCAUUCUCACGCUUUUUCUUUUGCAUUAAGGGUGGGCAGUGCUUUCUGCAGCACUCUGCAGGCUUUAAAGGGAACUAUAAAACACCAGGAGCCAAAACAAGAAUUUAAAAGUGAAGAAUCCCUCACAACACAACCACUUCUUUAAACCAAAGACUGCCUGCAUUUCUUUCUGAUUUAUACAUUUUACUGACCUAUGGCACUGGCUCCAGCUAUUUCCAUACACUUUCAAGGCUGCAAAGACACCACAGUGAUUUUUACCUAAGUCUGCUUUCUUCCUCCACGGAACAGCUCCACGUGGCAGCCCCAGGCUGCACUCCCAGGUGUUGCUCUGAGCUCUGCUCCCAACCCUGCUGCACACCCUGGCAUCCUAUCCUGCUAUACAACAUGGCAGCUACUAGCACAGUCAGUGCUUCAUGGAAAGAUUCAGGACUCCGCUCUCAACGGGGAAACAACAUCAGCUCUACCAAGGAACAACAGAGCAGCCUUUGCAUGAGGCAAACUCACAGCCACAGGCCACUUUCCUGCAACCUUGAGGACUGAAAGGAUGGCUGCUUCCAGCAGGCAGCUCAGGAGCCACAGAGGCUGAUUUGUUCCAACUUUGUGGUUUCCAGUAUUCCCUCGUGCCGUGAGUCCUAGAGUGCAAGGUCCAGCCUAAGAAAAACCCAUUCAUAAAUGACACAGCUUCUACAAAAUGCAUUGCCUCCAGGAAGCUGCAUUUCCUGAAAUGUGGGGAUGGAAUUAGCUGCGUGCCUUCUCCAUGGCACUCUGCUCCUGCACUUCACCCCAUUGCGAGAAAUGCUUUGUAAACUUUCCUUGACUUUAUGAAAUUACUUUGUUUGUAAAAGCUGGUGAACAAGGUUUCCUGAUAUUAAUACACUUUGCUUAUUGCUUAGCAGCACGACCUCUGGGUUUCUGUGAGCUAUGGAAAUGAGGGAAAUCUUGGCUCCUGACUCAGUGGGGGUCCAUGAUUUAUGCUCUCUCUCAUGCUACAAACAUUACUUCUGUGACUGCUCUUUAUUUCACAUGCUACUCCUUUCCCACAAUUUAUGAACACACAGCUCUUCCUCAGAGGGGUACUGCAGGACACAACCAGCAGCCAGGAGCCCAGCCCUCAGCCCUAUGCACAGCUCUGCAGCACUGGGCAAGAUGGGCCAGCACCAUGCAGAGCUGGGCAUUCUGUGCACAGGAACGGAGCCAGGGUGGCCACAAGCCCAGCUCUGCUCUCUUCUUUAAGUACAGAG
rnacentral:lncRNA from 1 species